UCGCCGGGUUUCUUUCAUCUCGCAUAAAAUCUUCGCCUUUUACUAAAGAUUUCCGUGGAGGGGAACUGCCCGAAGCCACGGGUAUUUUUGGAAGCUCCCCACGUGGGGGAGCU